rnacentral:rRNA from 1 species
GGUUAAGUGACUAAGCGUACACGGUGGAUGCCUUGGCAGUCAGAGGCGAUGAAGGACGUAGUAACUUGCGAUAAGCUCAGAUUAGGCAGUAACAGCCACUUGAGUCUGAGAUUUCCGAAUGGGGAAACCCAACUGCAUAAGCAGUUACUGUUAACUGAAUACAUAGGUUAACAGAGCGAACCGGGGGAACUGAAACAUCUAAGUACCCCGAGGAGAAGAAAUCAACCGAGAUUCCGAUAGUAGCGGCGAGCGAAAUUGGAUUAGCCCUUAAGCUUUACAUGCGUCAGGUGAAGGUUCUGGAAAGGACCGCGAAACAGGGUGAUAGCCCCGUAGCCGACAGCGCAUGUUCAGUGAAAUCGAGUAGGGCGGGACACGUGUUAUCCUGUCUGAAUAUGGGGGGACCAUCCUCCAAGGCUAAAUACUCCUGACUGACCGAUAGUGAACCAGUACCGUGAGGGAAAGGCGAAAAGAACCCCUGUGAGGGGAGUGAAAUAGAACCUGAAACCGUGUACGUACAAGCAGUAGGAGCCUC